rnacentral:lncRNA from 1 species
CGCUUUAUUCCUUCCCCUUCCACUUCUAAACAAUUCCAUCCUAAAACUACCAGAUUAGACAAAGAAAAGCAAGCCUCUGCACAGGGGUUUGGAGCAAGGUGUUGACCAAAAUUUGGAUGUCAGAACUCAAGCAGGGAGAAGAGGCUAGAGUGCAGUGGUGCGAUCUCGGCUCACUACAACUCCUACCUCCUGAGUUCAAGCGAUUCUCCUGCCUCAGCCUCCCGAGUAGCCAGGACUACAGUGUCGAGGUCAUGAAAGCCACUGAAAGACUGAGAACUGUUCCAGAAAGGAGACUAGAGAGACAUGGCAGCCAAAUGCUCCACAUAAUCCUGUCCUGGAUUCUUCUCCUACAAAGGAAGGGGUCUGAGGAUUAGGUGGUAGUACUGAAUCAAGGAACUAUCAUCUCCUAUUGUGCUGUAGGCAAACUUGAGUGACAUGGUGGAAGCCACCAGAGAGAAUAUCUGAAGCAAUUCAUUAAAAUCUUGGCAGCCAGACCCCAGCUCCCACUUUCCCUGAAAGCUCCCUUUAAUGAAGCUGAACGCUGUCCCAGCAAUUCCCUCCACAGAAGACCUACUGUCACCACCUCUGGAGGGGCAAUUCCUGGAGGAACCAAGUCAGCCAAUCGAAGGUCCUGAAUAAGCAAAAACUAAGUAAAUAAAUUACCAUCUCGAAAGUGAUGGGUUAGUGUGCUCUUUUGAAUGCCCCGUAGGAAAAUAAAUUUGAUUAAAAUUAAAUAUUUUGUUGUACGAUGUAAUGCUCAAAUUCAGGGGAUUCUGGUGUCCCUCUGGACAGUGUCAGUUGUUGGGGGAGGAGGGAAAUGCCAGCUGUC